GUUGACCAGGAUGGUCUGGAUCUCUUGACCUCGUGAUCCACCCGCCUCGGCCUCCCAAGUGCUGGGAUUACAGGUGUGAGCCACUGCGCCUUUAAACUAUUUUCAUGUGAAGAUAGAGCAUGUGCUUCCUAGAUCGUAAUCUCAGAAGGAAGCAGAAGCCAUCUGUUGUUGUUAUAUCCUGAACUCCAGUUAGCUAACGACAAUAAUGGUGACAUUGCGAUGGUCGUUUACUCUUCGCAAAGUGCUUCUGUCACAGUUCACCCUUGUGACGACACUGCGAGCUGCAUGGCACCCACCGUGUAGAGGUCUCGGCUCACCGCAACCUCCGCCUCCUGGGUUCAAGCAAUUCUCCUGCCUCAGUCUCCCGAGUAGCUGAGACUACAGGCGUGCACCACCACGCCCGGCUAAUUUUUGUGUUUUUACAAAAUUAUUAAUCAGUCUGCUACUGAUGGGCAAGUGGUUAUUUCCAAUUGUUAUUACAACCACUGGAUCAAUGCUAUUCAUUUACAUGUGUGGAGUUGUAUUUAUAGAAAAAUACUCAGAGGUAGGAUUGCUGGGUCUAAUGCAAGUGUAUCUGUAAUUUUAAAAGAUAUCACCAAAUCUCCCUUCAUUGAGGUUGUGAGGUUCUGUAGUUCUAACACAAGAUCUGAGAGCUCAUGUUUCACUGCAACUUUGCUCUUAAAUGUCUCACAGACUGCAUGAUUUCAUCCAAAAUGUGAAACUAUAUCCCAGAGGGAAGCACCAUUGGCUUGCUCCUUUCCCCAAACUAGACUUGGCUCCCUAGACCUGGCAAAGACGUGGUAGUACACUGCUUAUUUCAAUAAGAUAUAAUUUGGUGAUUUUUUUUUUUUUUUGAGAUGGAGUUUCGCUCUUGUUACCCAGGCUGGAGUGCAGUGGUGCAAUCUCGGCCCACCGCAACCUCCGCCUCCUGGGUUCAAGCAAUUCUUCUGCCUCAGCCUCCCAAGUAGCUGAGACUACAGGCAUGCGCCACCACACCCAGCUAAUUUUUGUAUUUUUAGUAGAGAUGGGGUUUCAUCAUGUUGACUAGGAUGGUCUCGAUCUCUUGACCUCAUGAUCCAGCCCCCUUGGCCUCCCUAAAUGCUGGGAUUAUAGUCGUGAGCCACCGCGCCUGGCCAUAAUUUGGUGAUUUUUAAACAACAUUCUCUCUAUCAGACACUUUCAUCAACACUAAGAACUUUCAGUAUUUUCCUAUCUUUUUUUUAGUGAUUAAGUUUUUCUAAG
rnacentral:lncRNA from 13 species